rnacentral:rRNA from 1 species
GACGAACGCUGGCGGCGUGCUUAACACAUGCAAGUCGAACGGAAAGGCCCUGCUUUUGUGGGGUGCUCGAGUGGCGAACGGGUGAGUAACACGUGAGUAACCUGCCCUUGACUUUGGGAUAACUUCAGGAAACUGGGGCUAAUACCGGAUAGGAGCUCCUGCUGCAUGGUGGUGGUUGGAAAGUUUCGGCGGUUGGGGAUGGACUCGCGGCUUAUCAGCUUGUUGGUGGGGUAGUGGCUUACCAAGGCUUUGACGGGUAGCCGGCCUGAGAGGGUGACCGGCCACAUUGGGACUGAGAUACGGCCCAGAAGCCUACGGGAGGCAGCAGUGGGGAAUAUUGCACAAUGGGCGGAAGCCUGAUGCAGCAACGCCGCGUGCGGGAUGACGGCCUUCGGGUUGUAAACCGCUUUCGCCUGUGACGAAGCGUGAGUGACGGUAAUGGGUAAAGAAGCACCGGCUAACUACGUG